UUUCGCAAUGCCCGAAAGGGUGACGAAGCGACGCCGCGUGGGUGAGGAAGGCCCUCGGGUUGUAAAGCCCUGUCAGGAGUUAAGAAAUGUAAGUGUGUUAAUACCACAUUUAUUUGACGAAGGCUCCAAAGGAAGCCACGGCUAACUCUGUGCCAGCAGCCGCGGUAAUACAGAGGUGGCAAGCGUUGUUCGGAAUUAUUGGGCGUAAAGAGCACGUAGGUGGGUUUGUAAGUCAGAUGUGAAAGCCUUCUGUUCAACGGAAGAAUUGCAUCUGAAACUGCGAAUCUUGAGUGUAGGAGGGGAGAAUGGAACUUCUGGUGGAGCGGUGAAAUGCGUAGAUAUCAGAAGGAACGCCGGCGGCGAAAGCGAUUCUCUGGCCUAUUACUGACACUCAGUGUGCGAAAGCUAGGGGAGCAAACGGGAUUAGAUACCCCGGUAGUCCUAGCCGUAAACGAUGGGCACUAAGUAGAGGGGUUUU
rnacentral:rRNA from 1 species